rnacentral:rRNA from 1 species
AGAACGAACGCUGGCGGCAGGCCUAAUACAUGCAAGUCGAACGCACUCUUCGGAGUGAGUGGCAGACGGGUGAGUAACGCGUGGGAACCUUCCCAAUGGUACGGAAUAACUCCGGGAAACCGGUGCUAAUACCGUAUAAGCCCCUCGGGGGAAAGAUUUAUCGCCAUUGGAUGGGCCCGCGUCGGAUUAGCUAGUUGGUGAGGUAAUGGCUCACCAAGGCUACGAUCCGUAGCUGGUCUGAGAGGAUGAUCAGCCACACUGGGACUGAGACACGGCCCAGACUCCUGCGGGAGGCAGCAGUAGGGAAUCUUGGACAAUGGGCGAAAGCCUGAUCCAGCCAUGCCGCGUGAGUGAAGAAGGCCUUAGGGUUGUAAAGCUCUUUUGGCGGGGACGAUAAUGACGGUACCCGCAGAAUAAGCCCGGCUAACUUCGUGCCAGCAGCCGC